rnacentral:rRNA from 1 species
UGGGGGAUAUUGCACAAUGGGCGAAAGCCUGAUGCAGCGACGCCGCGUGGGGGAUGAAGGCCUUCGGGUUGUAAACUUCUUUUGCUCUGAACAAGGCAUGCUAAUGGGUGUGUUGAGUGUAGGGGUUGAUUAGCGCCGGCUAACUACGUGCCAGCAGCCGCGGUAAUACGUAGGGCGCGAGCGUUGUCCGGAAUUAUUUGGCGUAAAGGGCUUGUAGGUGGCUGGUUGCGUCUGUCGUGAAAGCUCAUGGCUUAACUGUGGGGUUGCGGUGGGUACGGGCUGGCUUGAGUGCAGUAAAGGAGGCUGGAAUUCAUGGUGUAGCGGUGGAAUGCGCAGAUAUCAGGAGGAAUACCGGUGGCGAAGGCGGGUCUCUGGGCUGUUACUGACACUGAGGAGCGAAAGCAUGAGGAGCGAACAGG